rnacentral:rRNA from 1 species
AACGAACGUUAGCGGCGCGCCUAACACAUGCAAGUCGAGCGAGAAAGGACUUCGGCCCCGGUAAAGCGGCGCACGGGUGAGUAACACGUGGAUAACCUACCCCUUGGUGGUGGAUAACCUUCCGAAAGGAGGGCUAAUACAGCGUAAGACCACGACUUCGAAAGAGGUUGAGGUAAAAGUGGGCCUCUGUACACAAGCUCACGCCAGGGGAUGGGUCCGCGGCCCAUCAGCUAGUUGGUAGGGUAACGGCCUACCAAGGCGAAGACGGGUAGCUGGUCUGAGGAGAUGAUCAGCCACACUGGAACUGAGACACGGUCCAGACUCCUACGGGAGGCAACAGUGGGAGUAUUGGACAAUGGGGGCGAACCCUCGAUCCAGCAAUGCCGCGUGGGUGAUGAAGGCCUCGGUUGUAAGA